CCCUCUCCCCCGCGGAAGAAACCCAACCCUAGCCUCCGAGGUCGAGUCUCCGGCGACCCUUCGGCAGCACCGCGAGCCUCUCCUGGAGCUGUCCCGCUGCAAAUCGGAAGCGCGAGCGUUGAGGAGGAGGAGGUGUUGGUCGGCGAUUUACUGAUUUUGGGAAGCGGAGGAGGAUGGGGUCGUCGUCCAAGGUGGUGCGGCCGGAGGAGGUGCUGGAGUCGCUGAAGAACGACGGCACCGUCGACGCGCUCCGCAUGAAGAUCAUCGCCCAGCUCAAGGCCGACGAGGACAUGAAGAAAAAUACUAUGAUGAUGGUGGAGCAAAGCAAAGUUCUGAAGACUCCUGGAGCUGAGAAAAAGACCAAGAGGGAGCUGUUUGAUGCUCUUAGACAAGAAUUGGAAACUCCGGUUCUUGAGAAAGCCUCAAAGGCAGUUUGGGAGCUGAUACUCGACAAUGGUGGACUAGGGAAAGAGAUCACCGAGACAGUUGAGAAAGUCUUCUGCCGGCUCAGCGGAAUUGAUGUGAUGCCACCUCCAGCUUCAACAUCCGGUGCUCCUCAAGAGAAACAGACAAAUAUGGCUGUAGAGGAGGGUCAGAAGGAUAUGGAAAUGGAUGCCUCUGAACCAUCGUCUUCCUCAAGGAAGAGGCCUUUCAGUGACAUCAGUGUGAAAGCAGCAGGUGCUAUACCAAACGGUGGCGCUACAUACCAGCAUGACGAUCACGAGGACAGGAACUAGGAGAUCUGGAUUCUAUCAUAUUGAUGCACCUGUGGGCCAUGAAGCGAAUUGGCUGAUUUCAGGAACUGUGGCGAGGUCCAUAUGGUUAAAGGAGAGAUCAACCAGGUAGAUCUGAUUAAAAAUCUUUCUGAGAUCUUCUGCAAGCUUAGACAGUGGCCAUGGCAAGUCAGAACACUCUUAGAGAAAAACUUAUUGGUUAGAUUCCCUCCUUGGAAGAAUGUUGAAGAACUAAUUGAAUUCCCUACCUUUGAUCUGCCAAUUACUGGUGUUUCAGUCUCUGUUGAGAAAUGGACUGGUGCAAUAGACCCUUUCUCCAAAUUGACUGAAGCUUGGGUUGUUGUUGAAGGCCUGUCGUCAAAAUGGUGCACGUGGAAGGUAUUCUCUCAGAUUGCCUCGUGCUUUGGGACCCUGGUAGAUGUGGACUGGAAUGGGUUGAUGAAGAGCUUUUAUGAGAAAGUCAAAAUCAAGAUCGUGUGCAGGAGUCCUGAGAAAAUUCCUUUGAACGGAUUAUGGAAAUGAGGAAAAAGCUAUACAUUCUAUCUUUCACUGUUGAAGGUCUUGAACAAGUGGGUGCUGAUUAUCCUAAUGAUGAUAAUGGACCUACUGAUAUAGAUGUGGAUGGCUUUAAAAAUGAUCUUGAUGUGGGUGAUACUGACAAGGACCGCUUGGAAGAUGGUGAGGAUGGUUUUGAUGAACUGGAUCUAGCUAAUAGAGCUAGCACCUCUGAAAACCCACCUGCUAGUAAAGGUAAGGAGUGCACCACCUUUCAUCCUCCUGCAUUGGUGGAAGCUUACUAUACUCCUUGCAAAAAACCUGAGGAUAAUGUGGCGAAAGAAAGUUGUGAGACUGUUGUCAUCCUCCCCUUUGCUGAACCUAUCAAACUUCUAGAUGGGCCUGAGAUGAACACACCUGAUCCUCAAGCUGAAGCUGAUUUUGCUGACACUAUUGGCAGUCUUGCAGUUUCUACCCAGAAAAUAUACUGCUCUGGCCUACUGAGAGAUUUUAAUAGCUAUGGUUCAGAUACUGCCACUGAAGCUGGAGAUACUGAUAGUGAAAUGGAGACCUUAAAUGAGCCAGUCAUGAACUGUCUGAAGAUGCUGGAGUUGAGGAACAAGGUCAGAAAUGAUACUGCUGGUAACAAUAUCCCUCCCCCCUCCCUUCAAGAAAAACAUCUCUGGUAAAUGGGGCCCAAUUCUCUCUCAAAGGCCUUCAACAAGAGUGCAGAGGAACCAAAAUAUAAUGGAAACAGCUGAAGAAUACAAGAUGAGGAAGAACCUGGAAAUCCCUGCUACUUCCAAAAGGCGUGUCGUGGGCAAGCAUUCGGGUGAUUCUGGGGAGAGUGUGUGCUCUGUUGCAUUAGUGGAAAAUCUUAUGUGACAGGGAUCAAUCGAUGCUACUGCGGUGUUGUCUCCUGUUGUUGGACCGACGAAGAAGUGAGCUGGUGCGCAUUGCAUGGGAGGAGGGACCAAGGAUGGUGCGAAUAAGGGACUAGAUGGACUCAUGCUGAAGGCGCACACUGGAUGAUCUCUCCCUCCUGCGUGAGGAUGUCAUUCUGUAAUAGGACAGACCUUACUUAGAUCCCUUGAUGCACGCUGGAUGUGUUGCCGAAUCAAUUGCUCUUAGUAGUUGUAGUUUGCAUAUAGUCUGGCCUGCUACUUUGGUGAGGCUCGAGUGCUAUCAUUAUGUUUUGGUUUGCUAUUCUCUGUUUUAUGCAAUAAAAUGGAGAGGGGGGAAAACCCCUUUUGUUUCAAAAAAAUACAGUGACAAUCAA